AACGAACGCUGGCGGCAUGCCUAACACAUGCAAGUCGAACGAGACCUUCGGGUCUAGUGGCGCAAGGGUGCGUAACGCGUGGGAACCUGCCCUUAGGUUCGGAAUAACUCCCCGAAAGGGGUGCUAAUACCGGAUAAUGUCUUCGGACCAAAGAUUUAGCGCCUUUGGAUGGGCCCGCGUUGGAUUAGCUAGUUGGUAGGGUAAAAGCCUACCAAGGCGACGAUCCAUAGCUGGUCUGAGAGGAUGAUCAGCCACACUGGGACUGAGACACGGCCCAGACUCCUACGGGAGGCAGCAGUGGGGAAUAUUGGACAAUAGGCGAAAGCCUGAUCCAGCAAUGCCGCGUGAGUGAUGAAGGCCUGAGGGUUGUAAAGCUCUUUUACCCGGGAUGAUAAUGACAGUACCGGGAGAAUAAGCUCCGGCUAACUCCGUG
rnacentral:rRNA from 1 species